rnacentral:rRNA from 1 species
AGGGAUACCCGCUGAACUUAAGCAUAUCAAUAAGCGGAGGAAAAGAAACCAACAGGGAUUGCCCUAGUAACGGCGAGUGAAGCGGCAACAGCUCAAAUUUGAAAUCUGGCGCAAGCCCGAGUUGUAAUUUGUAGAGGAUGCUUCAGGGCAGCGGCCGUUCUAAGUCUUUUGGAACAAGGCGUCACAGAGGGUGAGAAUCCCGUAUGCGACCGGCGCGCACCCGUCACGUAGCUCCUUCGACGAGUCGAGUUGUUUGGGAAUGCAGCUCUAAAUGGGAGGUAAAUUUCUUCUAAAGCUAAAUAUCGGCCAGAGACCGAUAGCGCACAAGUAGAGUGAUCGAAAGAUGAAAAGCACUUUGGAAAGAGAGUUAAACAGCACGUGAAAUUGUUGAAAGGGAAGCGCAUGCAACCAGACGUGCCGGCGGUGUUCCCCCGGUCUUCUGACCGGGCCACUCGCCGCCGGCAGGCCCGCAUCGCCUGGGUGCGUCGGAGAAAGGCGUGGGGAAUGUGGCUCCCUCGGGAGUGUUAUAGCCCCGCGCGCAAUACGACGCCGCCCGGGCGAGGUCCGCG